UACAGAGGUCUCAAGCGUUGUUCGGAUUCAUUGGGCGGAAAGGGUGCGUAGGCGGCGCGGUAAGUCGGGGGUGAAAUCUUGGAGCUUAACUCCGAAACUGCAUUCGAUACUGCCGUGCUUGAGGACUGGAGAGGAGACUGGAAUUUACGGUGUAGCAGUGAAAUGCGUAGAUAUCGUAAGGAAGACCAGUGGCGAAGGCGGAUCUCUGGACAGUUACUGACACUGAGGCACGAAGGCCAGGGGAGCAAACGGG
rnacentral:rRNA from 1 species